rnacentral:rRNA from 1 species
UACGUAGGGUGCAAGCGUUAAUCGGAAUUACUGGGCGUAAAGCGUGCGCAGGCGGUUUUGUAAGUCUGAUGUGAAAUCCCCGGGCUCAACCUGGGAAUUGCAUUGGAGACUGCAAGGCUAGAAUCUGGCAGAGGGGGGUAGAAUUCCACGUGUAGCAGUGAAAUGCGUAGAGAUGUGGAGGAACACCGAUGGCGAAGGCAGCCCCCUGGGUCAAGAUUGACGCUCAUGUACGAAAGCGUGGGGAGCGAACAGG